rnacentral:rRNA from 1 species
UACGGAGGGUGCGAGCGUUGUUCGGAUUCAUUGGGCGUAAAGGGUGCGUAGGCGGUCGCGCAAGUCGGAUGUGAAAUCUCAGGGCUCAACCCUGAAACUGCAUUCGAUACUGCGUGGCUAGAGUGCUGGAGAGGAGACUGGAAUUUACGGUGUAGCAGUGAAAUGCGUAGAUAUCGUAAGGAAGACCAGUGGCGAAGGCGAGUCUCUGGACAGCAACUGACGCUGAGGCACGAAGGCCAGGGGAGCAAACGGG